rnacentral:lncRNA from 1 species
ACAACCAUCUAGUCUAGGACAUUGAUUUCAUGCCCGUGAAUGCACUAGGUAUGUUCACCUAAAAUGUCAUGGAACACCACGAUGUUUGUGAGGUGAGAAACAACUAAUUUUGAUUGAAGCAUAGUAUCUAUGCACAUGAAGAGUUCCUUCCUCUUACCACGGGCACCAGGAGACUAAUUGUAACUCACAAAAAUUAAUGUAAUACAAGUUUUGAUUGUUGAGUUGCCACUCCGGCAUUAUAUAGGCUCAGAAAACUUCCGUACACAUUUACAAAUGAGCUAAGACAAUUUUUUUGAGAUUGUCUAACUUUCGUAUGUAACAACGUAGAAUCUCAUCCAAAAAAAACUAGCCAGAAAAUAUUAUUUAAGUUUUUAAAAAACUAGCCAGAAAAUAUUAUUUAAAUUUCUUAACCAUGUAUAAGUAUCUAAAACUUAUCUAGUGCAUACCAAUAUAGGAUUAAACACACACCAGCACGAAUCCUCACAUACUCCCCAAACGUCUUUGCUAGGCUAAAGAUCCAGAUUUAUUCAAAUCUAAACACAAGCACCAUGAUUGAUUCAUGACCGGUCCUAAUGAGCACGUGCUGCAGCAUUCCUUAGUCUAUAUAGGUCAUGGACAUUAUUGGGUGUUACAUUUUUUUGACUUUAUUGGGUGUACCUGUUCCCGUCAGAUAUGAUCCACCCACAUUAGAAGAAGAA